rnacentral:rRNA from 1 species
AUGGCGUUUCUCUUCAACAAAUUCCAGGAGGCAAUCAAAACACUUGCUAAGAGUCCAAGCUUUGCUCGAGACCCACGGCAUCUUCAGUUUGAUGCUGACGUGAAUCGUUUAUUUCUCUAUACCAGCUAUAAUCGUUUGGGAGAGCAUUCUGAAGAAAAGGACGCCGAGGAGAUUAUUGACCUGGCUAGCAAAGCAUCUGUUACUGACCAGCAGAAGCAAGUUCAGGGAAAUGUUCAUUAUCAACUUAAGCAUAUAUGCAAAUCAAUGGAUAACAUUCUUCGUCCUGAUACAAAAGAUCCAUCACAAUCUUCUUCUGAUGCUUAUAAUAAUUCUCGACGAAGUGGCUUGAGUUUGGCCGUUGGCACAGGAGUUGCAGCUGCAAACAAGCCAGCUGUUCCUGCUACGCGACCUUUAACUCAAGCUGAAUUGUCAAACAAAUUCAGGGAUCAGUUUGGCUACACCCUUGACAUCAAGCCGUCACUAAUACCUCACAAAGAUGCAGGGCAAGGUCUGUUCUUAUCUGGAGAAGCUAAUAUUGGUGCUGUCCUAGCCAUCUACCCUGGAGUUAUAUACUCACCUGCGUAUUAUCGAUAUAUCCCUGGAUACCCAAGAAUCGAUGCGUGCAACAGCUAUCUUAUCACAAGAUAUGACGGAACAAUAAUCAACGCGAAACCAUGGCAUUUAGGUGGUGAAACAAGAGAAAUAUGGGAUGGUUCAGAUCCAGUGGAUUACAAUACAACGCCACCCAAAAGCCCAGAGAGCAACUCUGACCGGGCGUGGAGGAUGCUUAACAAGCCCCUGCAGAAGAGUGGCACUGAAAACUUCGGGGAUGUGCUUGAACGGCGAAAUCCACUAGCCUUUGGUCAUUUCGCGAACCACCCACCGGGAGGGUCGACUCCUAAUGUCAUGAUCUGCCCAUAUGAUUUUCCACUGACAGAGAAGGACAUGAGAGUAUACAUCCCGAACAUUGCAUUUGGUGGUGAAGAGCCCGUUACAAUGAAGAGGUUUGGCUCCUUCUGGUUCAAGUCCAGAGCCCCUGGUAAAGAGACUGGGGAGUCACCGGUUCUGAGGACGCUUGUGCUAGUAAGUACGAGGUCCGUAUGUGACGAAGAGCUCUACCUGAACUACCGGUACAGCAGCUCAAAGGGGCGGCCAGACUGGUAUACCCCAGUGGAUGAAGAAGAGGAUAAGAGGAGAUGGAGCUAG